UUAAGCGACUAAGCGUACACGGUGGAUGCCCUGGCAGUCAGAGGCGAUGAAGGACGUGCUAAUCUGCGAAAAGCGUCGGUAAGGUGAUAUGAACCGUUAUAACCGGCGAUGUCCGAAUGGGGAAACCCAGUGCAAUUCGUUGCACUAUCGUUAACUGAAUACAUAGGUUAACGAGGCGAACCGGGGGAACUGAAACAUCUAAGUACCCCGAGGAAAAGAAAUCAACCGAGAUUCCCCCAGUAGCGGCGAGCGAACGGGGAGCAGCCCAGAGUCUGAAUCAGCUUGUGUGUUAGUGGAACGGUCUGGAAAGUCCGACGGUACAGGGUGAUAGUCCCGUACACCAAAAUGCACAGGUUGUGAACUCGAAGAGUAGGGCGGGACACGUGGUAUCCUGUCUGAAUAUGGGGGGACCAUCCUCCAAGGCUAAAUACUCCUGACUGACCGAUAGUGAACCAGUACCGUGAGGGAAAGGCGAAAAGAACCCCGGCGAGGGGAGUGAAAAAGAACCUGAAACCGUGUACGUACAAGCAGUGGGAGCACCUUCGGGUGUGACUGCGUACCUUUUGUAUAAUGGGUCAGCGACUUAUAUUCUGUAGCAAGGUUAACCGUAUAGGGGAGCCGCAGGGAAACCGAGUCUUAACUGGGCGUUAAGUUGCAGGGUAUAGACCCGAAACCCGGUGAUCUAGCCAUGGGCAGGUUGAAGGUUGGGUAACACUAACUGGAGGACCGAACCGACUAAUGUUGAAAAAUUAGCGGAUGACUUGUGGCUGGGGGUGAAAGGCCAAUCAAACCGGGAGAUAGCUGGUUCUCCCCGAAAGCUAUUUAGGUAGCGCCUCGUGAAUUCAUCUUCGGGGGUAGAGCACUGUUUCGGCUAGGGGGUCAUCCCGACUUACCAACCCGAUGCAAACUACGAAUACCGAAGAAUGUUAUCACGGGAGACACACGGCGGGUGCUAACGUCCGUCGUGAAGAGGGAAACAACCCAGACCGCCAGCUAAGGUCCCAAAGUCAUGGUUAAGUGGGAAACGAUGUGGGAAGGCACAGACAGCCAGGAUGUUGGCUUAGAAGCAGCCAUCAUUUAAAGAAAGCGUAAUAGCUCACUGGUCGAGUCGGCCUGCGCGGAAGAUGUAACGGGGCUAAACCAUGCACCGAAGCUGCGGCAGCGACACUAUGUGUUGUUGGGUAGGGGAGCGUUCUGUAAGCCUGCGAAGGUGUGCUGUGAGGCAUGCUGGAGGUAUCAGAAGUGCGAAUGCUGACAUAAGUAACGAUAAAGCGGGUGAAAAGCCCGCUCGCCGGAAGACCAAGGGUUCCUGUCCAACGUUAAUCGGGGCAGGGUGAGUCGACCCCUAAGGCGAGGCCGAAAGGCGUAGUCGAUGGGAAACAGGUUAAUAUUCCUGUACUUGGUGUUACUGCGAAGGGGGGACGGAGAAGGCUAUGUUAGCCGGGCGACGGUUGUCCCGGUUUAAGCAUGUAGGCUGGUUGUCCAGGCAAAUCCGGAUAAUCAAGGCUGAGGUGUGAUGACGAGGCACUACGGUGCUGAAGUAACAAAGGCACUGUUGCAAAUAGUCGGUGGUGAUAAACUUAUCAUCCCCUUUUGCUGAUGGAGCUGCACAUGAACCCAUUCAAAGGCCGGCAUUUUCAGCGUGACAUCAUUCUGUGGGCCGUACGCUGGUACUGCAAAUACGGCAUCAGUUACCGUGAGCUGCAGGAGAUGCUGGCUGAACGCGGAGUGAAUGUCGAUCACUCCACGAUUUACCGCUGGGUUCAGCGUUAUGCGCCUGAAAUGGAAAAACGGCUGCGCUGGUACUGGCGUAACCCUUCCGAUCUUUGCCCGUGGCACAUGGAUGAAACCUACGUGAAGGUCAAUGGCCGCUGGGCGUAUCUGUACCGGGCCGUCGACAGCCGGGGCCGCACUGUCGAUUUUUAUCUCUCCUCCCGUCGUAACAGCAAAGCUGCAUACCGGUUUCUGGGUAAAAUCCUCAACAACGUGAAGAAGUGGCAGAUCCCGCGAUUCAUCAACACGGAUAAAGCGCCCGCCUAUGGUCGCGCGCUUGCUCUGCUCAAACGCGAAGGCCGGUGCCCGUCUGACGUUGAACACCGACAGAUUAAGUACCGGAACAACGUGAUUGAAUGCGAUCAUGGCAAACUGAAACGGAUAAUCGGCGCCACGCUGGGAUUUAAAUCCAUGAAGACGGCUUACGCCACCAUCAAAGGUAUUGAGGUGAUGCGUGCACUACGCAAAGGCCAGGCCUCAGCAUUUUAUUAUGGUGAUCCCCUGGGCGAAAUGCGCCUGGUAAGCAGAGUUUUUGAAAUGUAAGGCCUUUGAAUAAGACAAAAGGCUGCCUCAUCGCUAACUUUGCAACAGUGCCGUAACAAAUGCCCUGCUUCCAGGAAAAGCCUCUAAGCAUCAGGUAACAUCAAAUCGUACCCCAAACCGACACAGGUGGUCAGGUAGAGAAUACCAAGGCGCUUGAGAGAACUCGGGUGAAGGAACUAGGCAA
rnacentral:rRNA from 1 species